AACAAAAGCAAGGAAAGAUGACAGUUCUACUGACCCAAGGAAAGGACUGUUUGAAGAUGAAGAAGUUGUAUGUCAGUACACGGGUGGGGAGGAUCCUGUAGACAGGAAAAACCGAAGUUGUAGCAGAGCGAUAGGGAAAGUUUCUGGAGUCAUGUUCUUCAGAAGGCACUCCCAGUCUCUUGGUACUGUCCUACCUUGGUCUGCGUCCUCCCCUCGCCCCUAAAGAACAAGAAACAGGGAAUACCAAAGGACUCCAGAGAGAUCAGCAAUCAACAACAGAUCUAUCUCCAUGAGCGUGCUCUCUUUCCUGUGUCAAAUGUGUCAUCUCAUAGAGGCUGCAGGUGGCAGUGGGGGCCAUGGGAGCUGGAGGAAUUGUGCUGUCUUUUGCGUGGCUGGAAAAGUAUUUUUCUACAAUGUGGGGGUACCUGUGUACACUUCUGUCCUUAAGACUCAGCUCAAACUCCAACACAACCAGGAAAACCUUUCAACAUCUUGUUACACACAGCCACCUUUAAUUUUUUUCUUUUUUUUUUUUAAACUUUUAUUAUCAUUCAAAUGAUUUGGGCAAUUUCAUCAUAUACUACAUCCUUUCCAAGGCAUGUAACCUGAUCAUGAAAUAGAAAAUUAAUGCUUCAAUAACAAUAAUUUAUACAGAAAAUUUUCCUGAAAAUAACAUGUAGACUAUUUUCCUUGGCCUUUGUAUUCAAACAAAGAUGAAAGAACUAAGCUGUUAAAAAGCUAAGCUGGGCUGGGCGCAGUGGCUCACGUCUGUAAUCCUAGCACUUUGGGAGGCCAAGGCGGGC
rnacentral:lncRNA from 1 species